CACCAAGAAAUUAAGUCAUAUCUACACGGUAAAAGGCGGUUAAACUAGGCACUUCAAGCUAUAAGAUAAUUUAUAAAAAGGUAAAAUUUGAACAUAAAUUUAUAUAUUAACAAUAACUUAUAUAGUUGAAUCCGCGAGAGCCCUGAGGGAAACUGGGAUUAGAUACCCCAUUAUUCUAGGCCAUAAAUUUGAUCAAAAUCUACCAGAGUACUACGAAUACUAUAAAAUUUAAAACUCAAAGGGCUUGGCGGUGUUUUAGACCACUCAGGGGAACCUGUCUCGUAAUCGACAAUCCACGAUAAACCUAACCUUUCCUUACUUCAGUUUGUAUACCGUCGUCGUCAGGUAACUUUUAAAAAGCCAGAAGUUAGCCAGAAAACACUAUAAGUUAAAACGUCAGAUCAAGGUGCAGCUUACGAAAAGGCGUAGAUGGGUUACAUUUAUCUAAUUAUAACUACGGAAAAUUAUUAUAAUAAAUAAUUUAAAGGAGGACUUGAAAGUAAAUUAAAUUAUAUAAAUAAUUUGAAUAAGGCUCUGAAACGUGC
rnacentral:rRNA from 1 species